rnacentral:rRNA from 1 species
UGGGGAAUUUUGGACAAUGGGGGAAACCCUGAUCCAGCCAUCCCGCGUGUGCGAUGAAGGCCUUCGGGUUGUAAAGCACUUUUGGCAGGAAAGAAACGUCGCGGGUUAAUACCCCGCGAAACUGACGGUACCUGCAGAAUAAGCACCGGCUAACUACGUGCCAGCAGCCGCGGUAAUACGUAGGGUGCAAGCGUUAAUCGGAAUUACUGGGCGUAAAGCGUGCGCAGGCGGUUCGGAAAGAAAGAUGUGAAAUCCCAGAGCUUAACUUUGGAACUGCAUUUUUAACUACCGGGCUAGAGUGUGUCAGAGGGAGGUGGAAUUCCGCGUGUAGCAGUGAAAUGCGUAGAUAUGCGGAGGAACACCGAUGGCGAAGGCAGCCUCCUGGGAUAACACUGACGCUCAUGCACGAAAGCGUGGGGAGCAAACAGGAUUAGAUACCCUGGUAGUCCACGCCCUAAACGAUGUCAACUAGCUGUUGGGGCCUUCGGGCCUUGGUAGCGCAGCUAACGCGUGAAGUUGACCGCCUGGGGAGUACGGUCGGCAAGAUUAAAACUCAAAUGAAUUGACGGGGUCGAU